UACGUAGGGGGCAAGCGUUAUCCGGAAUUACUGGGUGUAAAGGGAGCGUAGGCGGCAUGGUAAGCCAGAUGUGAAAGCCCGGGGCUUAACCCCGAGGAUUGCAUUUGGAACUAUCAAGCUAGAGUACAGGAGAGGAAAGCGGAAUUCCUAGUGUAGCGGUGAAAUGCGUAGAUAUUAGGAAGAACACCAGUGGCGAAGGCGGCUUUCUGGACUGAAACUGACGCUGAGGCUCGAAAGCGUGGGGAGCGAA
rnacentral:rRNA from 1 species